CGUGGUUUUGCUGCCGAAAACUGCCAUGUUGGCAGGAUAAAUAUAGGGGGUGAAUCAUGGCUUGUCUACUGCAGAAGGCCAAAGCCAUUCAGAACAGGUACCUGCAUACCCCACUGAGCUGCCCUAGCAGAAGGGUGGCCACAUUUAAGAGUGGCUGGAUUUGGGACAGAAACACGUCAUUCUUAUGCUUUCCUGAGCAACUUGCUGGUCAUAAGGGAAUGGUAGGUAGCAUAGUUGAAAACCUUCCCUGCGUAAGUUUGAGUUACUGCACUCUCUACGAGGACUGAUGCUCUCCAGUCAUUUGCUUUUCCUUCAUUUUGGUUUUCUGACUCUCUGAAGAGUUUAAACUCCUCCACUGUCUUGUUGAAAUACCAGCGUAGGCUGAGGAGAUGAAAAGAAUUUGCAGUCACCUCCUAAAUGAAC
ensembl:lncRNA